rnacentral:rRNA from 1 species
ACGGGGUAGUAACGGGUAGGUGACGUACCCUCGGGUCGGGGAUAGCCACGGGAAACUGUGGGUAAUACCCGAUAAUCUCCUGGAACGUGAUGGUUUCGGGAGCAAAGGUGAGAUUCCACCUGGGGAGCGGCCUGCUUCGUAUUAGCUAGUUGGUGAGGUAACGGCUCACCAAGGCGACGAUGCGUAGGGGGUGUGAGAGCAUGACCCCCACCACUGGGACUGAGAUACUGCCCAGACACCUACGGGUGGCUGCAGUCGAGAAUCUUCGGCAAUGGGCGCAAGCCUGACCGAGCGACGCCGCGUGUGGGAUGAAGGCCCUUGGGUUGUAAACCACUGUCAGAGGGGAUGAAAUGCACGAGAGUUAUCUCUUGUGUUUGACAUAGCCUCAGAGGAAGCACGGGCUAAGUUCGUGCCAGCAGCCGCGGUAAUACGAACUGUGCGAACGUUAUUCGGAAUCACUGGGCUUACAGGGUGCGUAGGCGGCUUGUUAAGUAGGGUGUGAAAUCCCCCGGCUCAACCGGGGAAUGGCGCCCUAAACUGGCGAGCUAGAGUGAGAUAGGGGUGUGUGGAACUUCCGGUGGAGCGGUGAA